rnacentral:tRNA from 1 species
GAUAGAAUGGCUGAGAUUAAGGCGAUAAAUUGUAAAUUUAUUCACGAAAUUAUUUUCUUUUAUCA